CCCUAGUAUGUUAAUUGGUUAUUCGGUUAUUAUGUAUAAGAAAUUUAAAUUUUUUGGCGGUUAUUUAUUAAUCAGAGGAGUUUGUUAUUUAGAAUUUGCUCUUUAUAUUUAAUUGGUUUUUGUUUAUUUAUCUCCGUUAUUAGUCAAAAGGCUUAUGUAGUUUAGGCUAUUAUUUCAGGUCAAGAUGUAGCAAUUAUUAAUUUUUAAUUAACUACAUUUAUGUAAUAAUGGAGUUUACUUUUGAAAAAUUAAGUGAAAUUGAAUUUGGUUGUAAAGGAUUUUAGAGAGUGUUUAUGAAGAAUCUAUAAUUAAUGUA
rnacentral:rRNA from 1 species